UAGUGGCGGACGGGUGAGUAACACGUGAGAAUUUGCCUUUAGGAGGGGGAUAACAAUUGGAAACGAAUGCUAAUACCCCAUAUGCUUUCGAGUGAAAUGGAUUUAUAUUUAUCCGCCUAGAGAGAAGCUCGCGGCUGAUUAGCUUGUUGGUAAGGUAAGAGCUUACCAAGGCGACGAUCAGUAUCUGGUUUGAGAGGACGAUCAGACACACUGGAACUGAGACACGGUCCAGACUCCUACGGGAGGCAGCAGUGGGGAAUUUUCCG
rnacentral:rRNA from 13 species